rnacentral:rRNA from 1 species
GCUAACGACUGGGCACACGCCGCGGUAAUAGGUAGGGUGCCGGUGGUGUCCGGUAUUAUUGGGCGGAAAGAGCGUGUAGGCGGCCCGGUUAGUCCGCUGUGAAAGUCCAGGGCUCAAGCUUGGAAUGCCGGUGGAUACGGUCGGGCUAGAGUCCGGAAGGGGGGAGUGGAAUUCCUGGUGUAGCGGUGAAAUGCGCAGAUAUCAGGAGGAACACCAAUGGCGAAGGCAGCUCGCUGGGACGUGACUGACGCUGAGACGCGAAAGCGUGGGGAGCAAACAGGAUUAGAUACCCUGGUAGUC